CGCGUACUCCCUCCGUCCGAAAAAGCUUGUCCCUCAAAUGGAUGUAUCUAGCACUAACUUGGUGCUAAAUACAUCCAUUCGAGAGACAAGUUUUUUCGGAUGAAGGGAGUAGAUG
rfam:Triticum aestivum genome assembly, contig: Triticum_aestivum_CS42_TGACv1_scaffold_434134_5DL